rnacentral:rRNA from 1 species
GACGAACGCUGGCGGCGUGCUUAACACAUGCAAGUCGAGCGAUGAAGCACCUUCGGGUGUGGAUUAGCGGCGAACGGGUGAGGAACACGUGAGGAAUCUGCCUUCCACUCUGGGAUAACUCCGGGAAACCGGGGCUAAUACCGGAUACUUUCAACUGGCGGCAUCGCCGGUUGAAGAAAGUUUUUCGGUGGAAGAUGACCUCGCGGCCUAUCAGCUUGUUGGCGAGGUAAUGGCUCACCAAGGCAACGACGGGUAGCCGGCCUGAGAGGGCGACCGGCCACACUGGGACUGAGACACGGCCCAGACUCCUACGGGAGGCAGCAGUGGGGAAUAUUGGGCAAUGGAGGAAACUCUGACCCAGCGACGCCGCGUGAGGGAUGAAGGCCUUCGGGUUGUAAACCUCUUUCAGCAGGGAAUAAGCGAAAGUGAAGGUACCUGCAGAAGAAGCACCGGCUAACUAUGUGCCAGCAGCCGCCGUAA